CUCCGCUUGGUGUAGUUGGUGUAAGUUCUGAUACUGUCGAUAUCUUCCCACUCAGCCUCUAACAUCCUCUCUAGUUAUCACGUUCGACUGUAAUAGCAAUUGUUAUCGAAAGGUCCCUAGUUCGAUUCUGGGAGCGGAGA